GAUGAACGCUGGCGGCGUGCCUAAUACAUGCAAGUCGAGCGAACAGACGAGGAGCUUGCUCCUCUGACGUUAGCGGCGGACGGGUGAGUAACACGUGGAUAACCUACCUAUAAGACUGGGAUAACUUCGGGAAGCCGGAGCUAAUACCGGAUAAUAUAUUGAACCGCAUGGUUCAAUAGUGAAAGACGGGUUUGCUGUCACUUAUAGAUGGAUCCGCGCCGCAUUAGCUAGUUGGUAAGGUAACGGCUUACCAAGGCGACGAUGCGUAGCCGACCUGAGAGGGUGAUCGGCCACCCUGGAACGGAGACACGGUCCAGACUCCUGCGGGAGGCAGCAGUAGGGAAUCUUCCGCAAUGGGCGAAAGCCUGACGGAGCAACGCCGCGUGAGUGAUGAAGGUCUUCGGAUCGUAAAACUCUGUUAUUAGGGAAGAACAAAUGUGUAAGUAACUAUGCACGUCUUGACGGUACCUAAUCAGAAAGCCACGGCUAACUACGUG
rnacentral:rRNA from 1 species